AGAAACUGUUGUGGUUGUCAACUGGGUUGUCUUCCUGAAGUAUGAAUCUGGUAUGUAUUGGGUGGAGGAGCAUUAUGUAUUGAACUUCUGAUGAAACAGGGCUGAAGCAGUGCCUACUCGACAGAACCAGUCAUCGUACAAAGAAAUGCCACCUGACUCAAAGGCAAAGCCAGAGUGCAGCUUGGAGCAAAGAAGGUA